rnacentral:lncRNA from 1 species
UUGUAUAAAAUUAGUUUAUACAAGAGUUUGUGGCUAUAUCAUCACUCUUAUAUGAAUAACCCAUUUACCUUUAUUUUUCUUUAAAUAUUUUUAUGCUCACUGAGUUUUUUUAUAUUAUGACAAAAAAUAAGGAGAGAAGUGUUAAAUAUUAAUUUUAAUAAAAGAGAAAUUAUUUGCAGAGCAAUGAAGGACCCCGCAAAGAAAUAAAAAUGUGCUUGCUGCUUGUAGAAAAUUCUUAGUCUCAGACGAGCAUUAACGUCUCAGUGCCUUCCUCGGACCGUUGGCUCCCCAAUCCCAACUACUAUAAAUAAUAUACAUUCAAGAGAACACUAAUUUAUCAUCCAUUCAUCCUUUCCAUCUUCAAUUAAUACUCGUUUGUUGAUAUUAAUUUCCUCUUACUUCCUUUAUUUUUGGCAUAACGAAAAUGGGAUUGGGCUCUAAGAUUUUCCUUCUUUUAGGUCUUGUAAUGACUAUUGUUGUUCUUCUUACUUCUACGAAGGUGGCAGCUGCUAGAAACAUGGCUGAGGCUUCCACUGCAACACGAAAAGGUGAGCGUCUUGGUUUAUGCAUUAAUUUGGGUCAUCUUAUAUAUAACAUAACAAUCAGAUUAAUUUCUUCUAGCAAAGCCAAUUUAUAAGCUGUGUUGGUCGUUAUAUGGUGGUGACCGAUGGCUUACAAAAAUGUCGUACUACGUAAUAUUUAUCGUGAAUAAUAUUGAAGAAGUGAAUUAAUUUAAAAAAAAUUUAAAAAAUAAUGAAAAUUUUUGGGUAGUAUAUUUAUUUUUUUAAUCUUUUAGCUCAUUAAUUAUUAUUCAAUAUAAUAUAUUUUAUCUUGUAGUACAAUAAUUUUUUUAUUUUACCUGUUAAAUUAUUAAAGUAAGAGAUUCAUUUAUUGUAAAAUUAUAUGCCACUUGACAUCAUUAUUCAUCAUAAUGUCAACAAUAUCGCCUAUUAUAUAUAUAUAUAUCAUUGUAUGGUAAUUAUAGGAAAACUUAUUACCCUAGAAAUUAAAGUCGGAAGAAGACAAGAGUAUACAUGAACAUAAAGUUCUCGAACUAAUAUGAUUGUUUUUUUUAUUUUUUUCCCCUAAACUAGGGAUAUAUAUAUAUAUAUAUCAUUACCCAUAGCAUCUUAUGUUUUAUUUUUUCCUUUAGUAGAAUUUUCUCAUUGCAUUGAGGUUGAUUUUUUUUUUCCAUUUCGGCCAAGACACAAUCACCGCCUCAAAGACCAAGACCCUAUAAAAAAAUUAAGUAAAAGAGAAAAGGAAUAAUAAAAAAAAAGUCUCAAUAGAAUUAAAUUCAACAAUUAAAAACAUGAUUCACCAUGACAGGCUACUGAGGGAUUUUCUCGUAUCAUUAAUUACCUCAAGUCCUUAAACUAAAAUAAUGAGUGGCGGAAAUUAAUUAAGAAAAUCAAAAACAAGAAAAUAAACAAACCUUUAAAGCUUUAAAGCUCAAGUCUGCAAAACCAAAAAAGAGAUUGCGUCUUCAAUUGGUAAUUCAGAAAAUGUUAAAAUGAUUGGAUUUUUCAGAUGAACAAUUAAGUGAUUGUCCAAAGUUUUUCCACAAAGAUUCUUCUCUCUCUUUAUAUUUUUCAAAAGAGCUUAAUUAGUUUCGCGACCAAUAUUAAUGGGCAAAUUGACCUCUGCAUUUUGCUAUCAAGUAAAAGUAGGGCUUCACCAGUAGGGGCCAAAAACAAAGUUAAUUAAAAUUCGUAAGCUGAAGUUAAAAUUUUGAACCAACAAGAUAGGGACAAGAUAGAGAUUUCGCCUCUACAAUUUUGACAGUUUUUACUUUGGCUUCGAAAUUUUACUCCUAUGAGUUUUGUGGCCUUCGCAGAAUUAUAGUUUUGUGUCUAUCCCUGGUUUCAAUUAGGGUAAAUGGGAAUGUAAUUCCUGUUAAAAAAUUGAUUAUUUUAUGAUUCAACCAUUAACCCACGUUGUGAUCAGAGUUAUAGUGAAACUAAUUAGAUUGAACUUCACACUACAAUGGUAUUAAAAACACGAAGGCCCUUGCUACAAAGAGUCGCAACGUGAAUAAUUUAUCAGAAAAGUACAGACAAGAUUAUAAAAGACCGUUAAUGGACUAGACUUCGAAAAUUUUUUCACAUAAUAAUUGGCUAACUCUCUUCAUCGUUGGUCUAGACUCUGGAUUCUGAUCUAAGCAUGAAAAGGCAACCUGCAUGAUUGACAUCAAUUUUUUCUGGAC